UCUCCAUGUAGGAACCCAGCAGGAACAUCUCCUUGCCUCCAGCACCUCUGCAGUAGUGAUUUAUAGCGUCUUCCAUGUAUCCUAUUGGGGACCACAGCGUCAUGACCUGCGGGGAGUCUUCAGGAAGAUGUGGGCCUACAUCCACACUGACAGGAGCCCUGAGCCACCUCAGGACCCACGGGGAGGUUUCAGGAAAUUGUGGGCCCGCAUCCACGCUGACAGGCGCCCCUGAGCAGCCUCAAGACCAGCGGAGAGGCUUCAGGAAGAUAUGGGCCUACAUCCACGCUGACAGGAGCCCCUGAGCCGCCUCAGGACCUGCGGGGAGGCUUCAGAAAGUUGUGGUGCGAUGUCCACUCUGGCAGGAGCUCCCAGGCCCCUCAGGACAUAAGUUGAGGCUUCUGGAAGCUGGGGGCCGCAUUCAGGGUUACAGGAGCCCCGGCCUCCUCAGAACCCUCGGUGAUGCUUUGGGAGGACUUGGGGCCACAUGGACAGAACAGGACCCUGACUUCCUCAGGACUCCCGGUGUAGACGUGGGGAAAUAUGGGGAUGCGUCCAUGCGGACAGAAGACCCCAGCCUUGUCAGGGCCUGUGGUGAGGCCUAAGAAAAAUGUGGGUGCCACAUCCACCCUGACAGGAGUCUCCAGCCCCCUCAGAACCCACUGUGAAGGUUUGGGAAGAUUAUGGGCCACAUCCAUGCUGACAGGAGCCCCGAGCCUCCUCAGGUCUUAUGGUGAGGCUUGAGGAAAAUGUGGGGCCACGUCAACCCUGACAGGAACCCCGUCCUCCUCAGGACCAGCACUUUGGCUUCAGGACAUAUGGGGCUGCGUCUAUGCUGACAGGAGCCCACAGCCCCCUCAGGACCCGUGGUGAGUUUUCUGUGGGAUGUGGGACCAUGUCCAUGCUGACAGGAGCCCCCAGCUUCCUGAGGACCUUCUGUGAGGCUUCCAGAGGAUGUGAGACAUAGUACACAGUGACAGGAGACCCAGCGUCCUCAGGACCCGCUGACUAUGACUCAGGAACACGUUGGGCCAUGUCCACACUCAAAGGAGCCCGGCUCGCUUGGACCCCCUGGAGGACUCUGGAGGAGCCAUUGGGGGCCACGUCUACAUCAGAAGGACUCCUCAGAACAACAGGGUAAGUGAAAGGGCAGAAUGAAUGGUAGGGUUAGGGGAGGGGAGGCAGUUGGUGGUUAGCCUUAGGUUAUAUGUUAGGUGUUAGUGACUAUGCUUAUGGUUAUGGAUUAGAGGUUAGGUGAGGUAUAAGGAUAAUGGUCAGUAGUUAAGAGUUAGGAUGGAGGUUAGG
rnacentral:lncRNA from 12 species